ACCAUUCAUGGAAGUUCCAGAUCCACCUGAUAAUGAGGCAGUAGGACGUGGAGGCCAAUCAGCAAAAGGAUCACCACCUUGAAGGUUAGAUGUGGAUAAGGUUCCUGUUGCUACCGUAUGCUUUUCAGCAUGACCAUACUGCAGGGUGACACCAACAGGUGCACGAGGUGGCCACUCUAAAUCCACGGAGGGGCAUGAUUUGGUAGCCUGCUGAUUAGAUACACCAGAUAACGACACAUGGUUUUGUAAAGAUGUUACUUGACCAACAGGGUUGCCUGGCACAGAUUGAUUGGUUGUAUGAAUAGAAUUCUGGACAGAAGUGGCAGUACCCUUUGUUGCAGGCCCCCAAUCUUCAUCCCAAGAGGCACUAUUUUUUGCUGAAGCGACAGUGCUGUUUCUUGUCCCAGGGGCUUCAUUUUGAAGUCCAUUAACCGCAGGAGACAUUUGUACCUUUGGGAUUCCAGAAUCUGUCACAGCUACUCCUCGCUUCUCUUCUAUCUUCCUGUAUGAACAACACUUAAGAAAUUAAUUCAAAGAGAGGGUUUGGGAGGGGGAGAUAGAGGUAAUGACAAAAGACAGGGUGUAAUAAGAAAAUUACUGGAGCAUGUCCUUGACGAAGAGCAUAUAUUUUGCAAACUGCUGGACAUUCAGUUGUUGAGCGGUCAGGAGGGGCAUAAGAUUCAAACCAUAUUUACUCCAUCAAAACUACUUCUAGCAAACAUCAAAACAUACAUCAAUUAUCACAAACUUUCUUUCAAUCGAAUGAAGUUGCAAAACCCAGUUUUACACAUAGUUACAGAUGAGCACUAACCAUUAUCAACUGUUCUGCUAUGCUGAAGAUUGGACUACAAAUUUAGGCUUUUAGAAUCCCAAAUAUUGUUGAAUCGAUCAAAUUGAAUUAGGUAGCUUGAAUCAGUGAAGUUAUUGUUAGGUUUCCAACAAUCUUGCUUCUGUAACUUAUAAAUUCCAAUCAAGUUUUAAUGGUAAUUUUUUUAAUUUUUAGAUGACUGUAUAAAGCUUUAAGCGGCUGAGUGCUCCACCUCUAAAUUCCAAAACAAUCCAAGAUGACGAGAUAAUUUAAAAAUCACAUAUUUUAGACAUCAAAUGUUGAAAACAUCAACCAUGCAUUGCUCCAGUGUUUGAUAACUCCAGUCUUUGAUAGCAGCAAACACUUGAAUUUAUGCAUUGUGUCAAUUCAAGUGCGCCACACUCAAUUUGAUAACAGAGAAUUUUCUUACAUAUACUCCUUAACCCGGAGAAAAUAUUAUCAUGAUUAAAUUAAUGAUACGGUCUAUAAAAUUAGAAACUAGAAUUCCUCUUACAGUGCUCCAAUUGUUGGGAAACCAACCAGCGUGCAAGUUCUAGCAACAUUUUAAUGAUAACACCAAAAUAGGUGUCUUUAAGAAAACAACCAUGCCAGCUAAAAUCUAGUGUCCGAACACAUUCUUUGACCAAUGUGCUUCCACGAUAUUUAUGGGUUUCCUAUGAACACAGAAACUAAAAAUAAUAUUUGUUCUUUUAGCCGAAUGUGUUCAAAUAUGAAUUAAAAGACAAGUUUAAAAGAUGAAUUAAAAAAUACUUCAGAGUUCAAAUAUUUGCUCUCUUUUGCUUUAAUGUAUACAAGUUGACAAUUAUUUUACAAGUGGCUAAAUCAUUUUUUCUUAAAGUGGCUUGAUCACUUUUAUGCAAUAUCUUGUAGAAUUUACAUUUACUCAGCUUAGAUUAGAAGACAAAAAAAUACGCAACUUAUUCACUCCCAAGUGCUGACUCCGUAUCCUAUGCCAUAGGGGGGAAGUAACAUUAUAUAAGUACUUACAGUUACAAAAAGGCUGAAGUCAACUUUAAUAGUGACAAAACAGAACCUUUCCAUUUUGAUUCCAACAGUUGAACGCAAUAAAAGGCAAGAUAGAAAUAAAUAGAUGAUUCUUCACCCCCACGGUCUUUCCUCAACCUUCAAAUCGUGGAAUUCAAAUCAUUCCUUCAGGAGAAACAUCAUAGUUUUGCCUUUAUUAUUUUCAACCCAGUCACAGUUACCAGGACUUCUAUGAAUACACUUUGCCUGAUGUGCUAAGGAUAAAAAUUAAAAAAUUAAACCAAACUUUUGCAAGAUCACUAUAGGCUAAACAUAUAACAAAACCUUUACAUAGUGUAGCGGUCCCUUACAGCAAAUGUUGUCUGGCAAUAUUUUCUGUAAUCUCUCCCUUCGCAAUAAAUGAAUCCAAACACACGCCAUAGGAUGGAUGUUACAAAAAUAUACAAUCUCAGCAGUAACUCAUCACCCUGAUACACUUGAACAGUGAUAAAAAGGAAGCUACCCCAACAAAUCCAUAAGGGGUGGUUGCUCAGAAUGUGACUUGGUAUUAGAGGACCGGGUGGUUGAGCCAGCUCCCCUCCCUCUUCCUCUUCCUCUACCCACUGUGGUUGAAGGUGGUGGUGCGAGUUUGGGUGCAAUCUGUUCAUUCUUGUUGGAAGCAAAGAUUGAUCCAAGAUCUGUUGAGUUGACGCUAUUAUAUGAACCAUUUGAUGAUGGAAACUGGUGACCCUGUUUGACAGAUGCAAGAGAAUUUGAAGGUUUGAGACCAAUAUUCAGGUUACCGGUGGUUGAACUACCAUUCCCUUGGUUGAAACUGAGAGACUGUGCAGAACUUUGAGAAUUAACAGACCAAUUGUUGCUGGGUUGGAGACUGAUAUUGUUUGAAGUGCUAGUCAUUGAAUUAAACCCAGAGUUGUUUAGUGGCAUUAAAAAAUUACCAUUCAUGGAAGUUCCAGAUCCACCUGAUAAUGAGGCAGUAGGACGUGGAGGCCAAUCAGCAAAAGGAUCACCACCUUGAAGGUUAGAUGUGGAUAAGGUUCCUGUUGCUACCGUAUGCUUUUCAGCAUGACCAUACUGCAGGGUGACACCAACAGGUGCACGAGGUGGCCACUCUAAAUCCACGGAGGGGCAUGAUUUGGUAGCCUGCUGAUUAGAUACACCAGAUAACGACACAUGGUUUUGUAAAGAUGUUAC
rnacentral:lncRNA from 1 species